GACGAACGCUGGCGGCGUGCCUAACACAUGCAAGUCGAACGGACAGACAGAGAGCUUGCUCUCUUGAAGUUAGUGGCGAACGGGUGAGUAACGCGUAAUCAACCUGCCCUUCAGAGGGGGAUAACAACGGGAAACCGUUGCUAAUACCGUGUACGAUUCAUGAACGGCAUCGUUUAUGAAUGAAAGGUGGCCUCUAUGUAUAAGCUAUCGCUGAAGGAGGGGAGUGGGUCUGAUUAGCUAGUUGGAGGGGUAACGGCCAACAAAGGCAAUGAGCAGUGGCCGGUCUGAGAGGAUGAACGGCCACAUUGGGACUGAGACACGGCCAAAAGUCCUACGGGAGGCAGCAGUGGGGAAUCUUCCGCAAUGGACGAAAGUCUGACGGAGCAACGCCGCGUGAGUGAUGAAGGUCUUCGGAUUGUAAAGCUCUGUUAAUCGGGACGAAAGAGUUCUGCGUGAAUAAUGCAGAAAAGUGACGGUACCGGAAUAGAAAGCCACGGCUAACUACGUGCCAGCCGCCGCAGUAA
rnacentral:rRNA from 1 species